AUACGUAGGGUGCAAGCGUUAAUCGGAAUUACUGGGCGUAAAGCGUGCGCAGGCGGUUUUGUAAGACCGAGGUGAAAUCCCCGGGCUCAACCUGGGGACUGCCUUUGUGACUGCAAGGCUAGAGUACGGCAGAGGGGGAUGGAAUUCCGCGUGUAGCCGUGAAAUGCGUAGAUAUGCGGAAGAACACCGAUGGCGAAGGCAAUCCCCUGGGCCUGUACUGACGCUCAUGCACGAAAGCGUGGGGAGCAAACAAGAUUAGAUACCCUGGUAGUCCACGCCCUAAACGAUGUCAACUGGUUGUUGGGUCUUCAUUGACUCAGUAACGAAGCUAACGCGUGAAGUUGACCGCCUGGGGAGUACGGCCGCAAGGUUGAAACUCAAAUGAAUUGACGGGG
rnacentral:rRNA from 1 species